GAUAUCUCUGCAGACUGCGGCCCCUGCUUGUUUACGCACAUUGUGAUCAGAAAAUAAUAAAAUAACCAGUCACAUGUACUCUGUGUUGA